rnacentral:rRNA from 1 species
AUUGAACGCUGGCGGCAGGCCUAACACAUGCAAGUCGAACGGUAACAGGAAGCAGCUUGCUGCUUCGCUGACGAGUGGCGGACGGGUGAGUAAUGUCUGGGAAACUGCCUGAUGGAGGGGGAUAACUACUGGAAACGGUAGCUAAUACCGCAUAACGUCGCAAGACCAAAGAGGGGGACCUUAGGGCCUCUUGCCAUCGGAUGUGCCCAGAUGGGAUUAGCUAGUAGGUGGGGUAACGGCGCACCUAGGCGACGAUCCCUAGCUGGUCUGAGAGGAUGACCAGCCACACUGGAACUGAGACACGGUCCAGACUCCUACGGGAGGCAGCAGUGGGGAAUAUUGCACAAUGGGCGCAAGCCUGAUGCAGCCAUGCCGCGUGUAUGAAGAAGGCCUUCGGGUUGUAAAGUACUUUCAGCGGGGAGGAAGGGAGUAAAGUUAAUACCUUUGCUCAUUGACGUUACCCGCAGAAGAAGCACCGGCUAACUCCGUG